ensembl:snRNA U6 U6 spliceosomal RNA
GUGCUUGCUUUGGCAGCACAUGUACUAAAAUUGGAAUGAUACAGAGAAUAUCAUGGUUCCUGCGCAAGGAUGACAUGCAAACACACGAAGUACUCCAUAUUUCU